rnacentral:rRNA from 1 species
ACCAGCAGCCAUGUCACCCUGCUACUCACAACUGGUAGCCCACUGAAGCUCAGCAGGAGUGAGCCUGGUCAGUACCUGGAUGGGAGACCUCCUGGGAAAAAAGAAGGUUGCUGCUAGGA